rnacentral:tRNA from 1 species
GCCGAAGUGGCGGAACUGGCAGACGCGCUAGGUUCAGGGUCUAGUAGCUGAAAGGCUGUGCGGGUUCAAAUCCCGCCUUCGGCA